GCGCAUUUUUCAAUCUGCAGGGGCGCCGAGCAGAGCGAACAUCAGAGAGCACAAGAUGGAUAUACAACAUUUUUUCUUGUCGUGCGGGAGUAGGUCUGCAAAUGAGCAACAGUCAGUGUUGUAUAUGGCUCAGUCAGUACUCCUACUCCCAUAUAUGAAAUACAGGGAAUACAAUGGAAUAGUGGAUUGCAGUAAGGUUAGUAGCAUACCACCCUACCCUAAUAGUCAAAUAAUAUUUUUUUAAUCAUACCCUUAUUGGGGGCUGAGCCCCCCUAAAAUCAAAAUCCUAGAA